GAGUUUGAUCAUGGUUCAGAUUGAACGCUGGCGGCAGGCCUAACACAUGCAAGUCGAGCGGCAGCGGGAAAGUAGCUUGCUACUUUUGCCGGCGAGCGGCGGACGGGUGAGUAAUGCCUGGGAAAUUGCCCAGUCGAGGGGGAUAACAGUUGGAAACGACUGCUAAUACCGCAUACGCCCUACGGGGGAAAGCAGGGGACCUUCGGGCCUUGCGCGAUUGGAUAUGCCCAGGUGGGAUUAGCUAGUUGGUGAGGUAAUGGCUCACCAAGGCGACGAUCCCUAGCUGGUCUGAGAGGAUGAUCAGCCACACUGGAACUGAGACACGGUCCAGACUCCUACGGGAGGCAGCAGUGGGGGAUAUUGCACAAUGGGGGAAACCCUGAUGCAGCCAUGCCGCGUGUGUGAAGAAGGC
rnacentral:rRNA from 1 species